rnacentral:rRNA from 1 species
AACGAACGCUGGCGGCAUGCCUAACACAUGCAAGUCGAACGAGACCUUCGGGUCUAGUUGCGCACGGGUGCGUAACGCGUGGGAACCUGCCCUUAGGCUCGGAAUAACUCCCCGAAAGGGGUGCUAAUACCGGAUAAUUUCUUCGGACCAAAGAUUUAUCGCCUUUGGAUGGGCCCGCGUUGGUUUAGCUAGUUGGUAGGGUAAAGGCCUACCAAGGCGACGAUCCAUAGCUGGUCUGAGAGGAUGAUCAGCCACACUGGGACUGAGACACGGCCCAGAAUCCUACGGGAGGCAGCAGUGGGGAAUAUUGGAAAAUGGGCGAAAGCCUGAUCCAGCAAUGCCGCGUGAGUGAUGAAGGCGUUAGGGUUGUAAAGCUCUUUUACCCGGGAUGAUAAUGACAGUACCGGGAGAAUAAGCACCGGCUAACUCCGUG